rnacentral:rRNA from 1 species
AUUGAACGCUGGCGGCAGGCCUAACACAUGCAAGUCGAGCGGAUGAAGGGAGCUUGCUCCUGGAUUCAGCGGCGGACGGGUGAGUAAUGCCUAGGAAUCUGCCUGGUAGUGGGGGAUAACGUCCGGAAACUGGCGCUACUACCGCAUACGUCCUGAGGGAGAAAGUGGGGGAUCUUCGGACCUCACGCUAUCAGAUGAGCCUAGGUCGGAUUAGCUAGUUGGUGGGGUAAAGGCCUACCAAGGCGACGAUCCGUAACUGGUCUGAGAGGAUGAUCAGUCACACUGGAACUGAGAAAAGGUCCAGACUCCUACGGGAGGCAGCAGUGGGGAAUAUUGGACAAUGGGCGAAAGCCUGAUCCAGCCAUGCCGCGUGUGUGAAGAAGGUCUUCGGAUUGUAAAGCACUUUAAGUUGGGAGGAAGGGCAGUAAGUUAAUACCUUGCUGUUUUGACGGUACCAACAGAAUAAGCACCGGCUAACUUCGUG